rnacentral:rRNA from 1 species
GACGAACGCUGGCGGCGUGCCUAAUACAUGCAAGUUGAGCGCUGAAGGUUGGUACUUGUACCUACUGGAUGAGCAGCGAACGGGUGAGUAACGCGUGGGGCAUCUGCCUUUGAGCGGGGGACAACAUUUGGAAACGAAUGCCAAUACCGCAUAAAAACUUUAAACACAAGUUUUAAGUUUGAAAGCUGCAAUUGCAUCACUCAAAGAUGAUCCCGCGUUGUAUUAGCUAGUUGGUGAGGUAAAGGCUCACCAAGGCGAUGAUACAUAGCCGACCUGUGAGGGGGAACGGCCGCAGUUGGAGUGAGACACGGCCCAGACUCCUUCACAAGGCAGCAGUAGGGAAUCUUCGGAAAUGGACGAGAAUCUGAACCAGCAACACCGAGUGAAUGAAGAAGGUUAUCGGAUCGUAAAACUCUGUUGGUAGAGAAAAAAGUUGGUGAGAGUGGAAAGCUCAUAAAGUGACGGUAACUACACAGAAAGGGACGGCUAACUACAUG